AUUGAACGCUGGCGGCAGGCCUAACACAUGCAAGUCGAACGAGUGGCGGACGGGUGAGUAAUGUCUGGGAAACUGCCUGAUGGAGGGGGAUAACUACUGGAAACGGUGGCUAAUACCGCAUACUAUCGGAUGAGCCCAUAUGGGAUUAGCUAGUUGGUGGGGUAACGGCUCACCAAGGCGACGAUCCCUAGCUGGUCUGAGAGGAUGAUAAGGCACACUGGAACUGAGACACGGCCCAGACUCCUACGGGAGGAAGCAGUGGGGAAUUUGGGGCAAUGGGCGAAAGGCUGAUGGAGCCAGGCCGCGUGAAUGAAGAAGGUUUUCGGGGCGUAAAGUUCUGUAGGUGGAGAGGCGGUAUCUGCAGAAGAAGCACCGGCUAACUACGUGCCAGCAGCCGCGGUAAUUC
rnacentral:rRNA from 1 species